UCUAUCCACAGUGUGAGGAAGGAUAUGUCACCUGCUUCAGAAUAAGAGAAGGGGAUGGAAACAUCCUUUUGCUUUCUCCUUCCCCCACCUCCCAAGGAAGCAGGAAGCCAGGUUAUUGCCAAGUUUUCUGAGCACAAUAAAUCAUGUAGCAUAUUCUGGGAGCAUGGAUGCUGUAGAGGCUUUGGAAUGUUGAGAAAUCCCUACUAUCAUGAAGCCUUGAUGUUCUAAUGACAAAUUUAAACUGAAUGCCUGUACAAUUUUCCUAACCGUGAGAGGUCCUGGCAUGUGUAAUAAUUCUUCAAGGCAAAGUAGUGGAAGUUGCAUCUCUUGAGACUUUUAAAACCAGGCUGUAUGAAACUCUAGAAAAUAUAUUGUGAGCCAUUACAGUUCUGUACUUGCAGAGGACUUAUUGCUCAGGAAGGCACAUAGUUUAAAACCAUCUGCUUUGACACUAUGAAGUCUGGAGUUGAUAUAUAAUAUACAAAUAUAUAUACGCCAAAGAUGAACAAGUUCUUAGAUCUUGAUCUAAAAUUAGUAGAAAGAUUCCUGUUAACUGCAGUCACUAUG